rnacentral:rRNA from 1 species
UACUCCCUACGGGAGGGCAGCAGUUAGGGGAAUAUUUCACAAUGAGCGAAAGCUUGAUGGAGCGACACAGCGUGCACGAUGAAGGUUUUCGGAUUGUAAAGUGCUGUUAUAAGGGGAAGAACAUUUGCAAUAGGAAAUGAUUGCAGACUGACGGUACCUUGUCAGAAAGCGAUGGCUAACUAUGUGCCAGCAGCCGCGGUAAUACAUAGGUCGCAAGCGUUAUCCGGAAUUAUUGGGCGUAAAGCGUUCGUAGGCUGUUUGUUAAGUCUGGAGUUAAAUCCCGGGGCUCAACCCCGGCUCGCUUUGGAUACUAGCAAACUAGAGUUAGAUAGAGGUAAGCGGAAUUCCAUGUGAAGCGGUGAAAUGCGUAGAUAUAUGGAAGAACACCAAAGGCGAAGGCAGCUUACUGGGUCUAUACUGACGCUGAGGGACGAAAGCGUGGGGAGCAAACAGGAUUAGAUACCCUGGUAGUCCACGCCGUAAACGAUGAUCAUUAGUCGGUGGAGAAUCACUGACGCAGCUAACGCAUUAAAUGAUCCGCCUGAGUAGUAUGCUCGCAAGAGUGAAACUUAAAGGAAUUGACGGGGACCCGCACAAGCGGUGGAGCAUGUGGUUUAAUUUGAAGAUACACGGAAAACCUUACCCACUCUUGACAUCCUUCGCAAAGCUAUAGAGAUAUAGUGGAGGUUAACAGAGUGACAGUGGGGGGGCA